ACGGGUGAGUAAAGCAUAAGAAUCUACCCAUUAGUUCGGGAUAGCCUGUGGAAACGCAGGGUAAUACCGGAUGUGGUCUAAGGACUAAAGGUGGCUUUUAGGAGCUGUCGCUAUUGGAUGAGCUUAUGUCGGAUUAGCUAGUUGGUGGGGUAAAAGCCUACCAAGGCGACGAUCCGUAGCUGUUCUGAGAGGAAGAACAGCCACAUUGGGACUGAGACACGGCCCAGACUCCUACGGGAGGCAGCAGUGGGGAAUAUUGGACAAUGAGGGAAACCUUGAUCCAGCAAUACCGCGUGUGUGAAGAAGGCCUGCGGGUUGUAAAGCACUUUCGUUAGGGAAGAAGGUUUAUAGUUUAAGAGAUAAUAAAUUUGACGUUACCUAAAGAAGAAGCACCGGCUAACUCUGUGCCAGCAGCCGCGGUAAUACAGAGGGUGCGAGCGUUAAUCGGAAUUACUGGGCGUAAAGCGUGCGUAGGUUGUAAUAUAAGUUAGGUGUGAAAUCCUGGAGCUCAACUUCAGAAUUGCGCUUAAUACUGUAUAACUAGAGUCUUGGAGGGGAUAGUGGAAUUUCCGGUGUA
rnacentral:rRNA from 1 species